AGAUGGCUGUGGCACUCUGAUCCAGCCAUCCCGCGUGAAGGAUGACUGCCCUACGGGUUGUAAACUUCUUUUAUGGGAGAAGAAUAGCAUCUAUUUAUAGGUGUGUGACGGUAUCUCAUGAAUAAGCAUCGGCUAACUCCAUGCCAGCAGCCGCGGUAAUUGAAU
rnacentral:rRNA from 1 species